UGGGCAACCUGCCCCCAGCUCUGGGAUAACUCCAAGAAAUUGGGGCUAAUACCGGAUAUGACCGCUGACCGCAUGGUCUGGUGGUGGAAAGAUUUAUCGGCUGGGGAUGGGCCCGCGGCCUAUCAGCUUGUUGGUGGGGUAGUGGCCUACCAAGGCGACGACGGGUAGCCGGCCUGAGAGGGUGACCGGCCACACUGGGACUGAGACACGGCCCAGACCUCCGUACGGGGAG
rnacentral:rRNA from 1 species